rnacentral:rRNA from 1 species
AUUGAACGCUAGCGGGAUGCUUUACACAUGCAAGUCGAACGGAGUGGCGGACGGGUGAGCAAUAGAUCAGAACGUGCCCAGUAGCGGGGGAUAACUACGCGAAAGAGUGGCUAAUACCGCAUACUGUGGGAGCGGCUGAUAUCGGAGUGGCUAGUUGGGGUGGUAAAGGCUCACCAAGGCAACGAUCCGUAGCGGGGUUGCGAGGACGACGCGCCACACUGGGACUGAGACACGGCCCAGACUCCUACGGGAGGCAGCAGUGGGGAAUUUUGGACAAUGGGCGAAAGCCUGAUCCAGCAAUCCCGCGUGUGUGAUGAAGGCCUUCGGGUUGUAAAGUACUGUUGGUAGAGAAGCGGUAUCUGCCGAAUAAGCACCGGCUAACUACGUGCCAGCAGCCGCGGUAAUUC